rnacentral:rRNA from 1 species
CAGUAGCCACGGUAAUACGAGGGGGGCGAGCGUUGUUCGGAAUUAUUGGGCGUAAAGGGUGGGUAGGCGGUUUGGUAAGUCUGAUGUGAAAUCUAUGGGCUCAACCCAGAGUCUGCACGGGAAACUGUCGGGCUAGAGGAUGGGAGAGGUGAGUGGAAUUUCCGGUGUAGCGGUGAAGUGCGUAGAUAUCGGAAGGAACACCUGUGGCGAAAGCGGCUCACUGGACCAUUUCUGACGCUGAUGCACGAAAGCUAGGGGAGCAAACAGGAUUAGAUACCCCAGUAGUCCCUGUCUCUUAUAA